CCAACAACCCAAACUAUAUUUAAAUAUAUGAUUCCAAAUAUAUGAUUUUCUCAUUUCUCUUUUUCGUAUACAAUUCAUCCAUCUCUCAAAAAAGAUGAAGAGGUGUUCAUGUGGGAGGAUUGCUGUUAUCCGGACAUCAUGGACCGACGAUAACCCAGGAAGAAGGUUCUUUUCAUGUCCAUUUAAGCCUAGCAACUGCCCUUUCAUUGGUUGGGUCGACCCACCGAUGUGCUUACGGUCAUCUAGGAUCAUACCCGGUCUUUUGAGGAACAUCAACAACCUGCAAGCUGAACUGUUUACCCGCGAACAAGAAAUUCGGAAGAAGAAGAGGGUCAUAUGGUUACUGAUAUUAGCGUUAGUGUUUGGCAGCUUACUUGUUAGGGUUGUUUGUUAUCAUUAAGAAAUAGUUAGUACUUAGUUGGAUCAUGCUUAUUAGUAUGUUUAAUGACAUUUCCCUAGUAUGUACUUGUUGAUGUUUGGUUGAAUGUGAGUUUUUUCUAUGUUAUGGGGUUUUGGGUUUUGUUUU